GCAGGGGAGUCUGCGCCGCGGCUGGCGCAGCGGGGUUUGGCGGCAGCAGGGUCCCCGCCUUCCUCGCAGCUUCUGCGCGCAGCGCCGGGGAGCUGGCUGUCUGGAGCCCGCAGGGUGUGGGUGAGCGGCUCCGAGAUCGGCAGCACUCGCAUCUUGAAGAUCCAGCACAAUGCCUGGCCCUUUACAAGAAUCACUAAAAGGACUAUGGAGAAUUAACCCAAAUGCUCAGGAACUCAGUUGCAACUUUCUGAAGGGUUCUUACCUCAACUCCAGACUCUGCUUUAACAAUCAUCCAACCAAAUCCAUGCAGCCAGCUGGGACGGAGCCCUGGUGUUUUCACAUACAAUUCGUAUGGAUACUUGAACAAGCUUUGAAGAGACUAGUUGCUUCCAAGACUGCCCCAUUCACAGGAUAAACUUUUCCAAACUAGGUGAUAGGACAUAGAAUUCUUUCCCUUCUCCCUCACCCUUCACAAUGUA